rnacentral:rRNA from 1 species
UACGUAGGGGGCAAGCGUUGUCCGGAAUUAUUGGGCGUAAAGAGCUCGUAGGCGGUCUGUUACGUCUGCUGUGAAAACCCAGGGCUUAACCCUGGGCUUGCAGUGGAUACGGGCAGACUAGAGGCAGGUAGGGGAGAAUGGAAUUCCCGGUGUAGCGGUGAAAUGCGCAGAUAUCGGGAGGAACACCGGUGGCGAAGGCGGUUCUCUGGGCCUGACCUGACGCUGAGGGGCGAAAGCGUGGGGAGCGAACAGG